CUUUUGUUUUGUUUUCAUCCAUAGAAAUGUUACUGAAGCGAGAAUUUUUAGUGGGUUGCCAUUCAUUUGUUUGAACCCCAUCUUCACCUACAAGGAAACCGUCCUCUCUCCUCUUUGUGAUGAGGAUCAUCUUGUCAAAGAGAAAAGUCAACCUCUCAUUCUUUGCACCUUGCAAUUUCAGUUGGCCCUCCAUAGCUAACUCUCCGUAGGUCGUAAGAUCAUCUCCCUUCGAAGAAAUAUUGGUGAAGGUUUGCACGCGUGUGGCAUCAGUCAACAAAUUAUUGUGGUAACUCUGCUGGUGGUUUAAAUAAGACCCACGCAAAGUUCGACACGAACUGAAGACUGAUGUGGUAAAAUUUUAUCUUGAAAUUUAAACUAUGUAUCCCACAACAUAACAUUUAAAAGAAAAAUAUGUUUUUAACUAAAUAAAACUAAAUGAAAAAUAAUAAACUAAAAUGAAAAAUAUUGAAUUAUUAAACAACCAACAGACAACGAACGAAGGAUAUAUUUUUUCAUUUAUAACUAUUGUUUAAUUAUAACUAUUGUUUAAACAAUUAUAGAAUAGAAAGUCAAACCAUUAAUUAAUAAUUCAAAUCCGAAAAGGAAAUUAUUUGUGAUUGUUCAAACAAUUCUGACUCAUGACAUUACAAUGGUUAAGCAAAAACCCAGUAGCUC